ensembl:lncRNA
UGACUAAUUAAAAAAAAAAAAACUUCUUGAGGAUGUUGAGGAUUCAUUUUCACUGUAGUUUUUUACUCAGAGGGGUGUGCACCCAGCACGUGACAACCUUUACAAGUCAGAAAAUCUCAGCGUGGAGCUCGGAGACCAAGGGGAGGAUUUUAACAGCUGCUCUCGCUUUGAAGUCGUCUUCCUGCUUCGAGGUGAAGAACAAUAAAUAGGGUGAGGCUGUCCACAGAGACUCACAAGAGUGUGAAACAAAGAGGAAAGACACAUUAUGACUGAGCUGCGGUGGAUCUCAGAGCUUCUGUAACUGAACGGACAAUGAAGGCGAGGCCGGCCUGGAUUCUUAUUUUCUUUCAGCUGUUCGAAGCCAACGCAGAGGUGAUCUUAAAACGUCUGACGGAGGGUCAGGCUGUGGUGAUCUCCUGCUCCCCUUGGCAGGCCCACGGAGGCCUGACGAGCCUCCACCUGUACCACCGCGGUGUCCAGAGCCAGACAACCCUGGUGUCCGUGACUGAGGCCGGUGAGGUCACGGUCGCCACGGAUCACAGAGCUCGCCUGGUGCUCCGUGGAGACCUGAGCUCCAUGAAGGUCAACGUGACCAUUUCUCGCUUAGAGCUGAGCGACACAGGGCUGUACAUGUGGGAUCUGAGCUACAGAGACACUAACAGCUCUGAUCAGAUGAUCCUCUGCGCUCAGAAGACCUUCGUGCUGGUUGAGGUGGCAGGGAGGCCGUGCAACUGCUCUCCUGGUUACGCCCCUCUACUCUGGACCAUCUUCACAGCAGCAGGGCUUCUUCUGCUGACCCUCACCUGGCUGGCCAUCCAGAAAUGUGUGAAGUUAAGGUCUCAUCGCAAACCACAACCUCAUGCUCCAAUCUAUGAGGAAAUGGGCAGGAAGCAGCAGCACCAGAGCCCCAGAGGCCCCCAGAAUAACCACGAGGCCCCCUCGCACCUGGAGGAAGUCAACUUCCCCGUGUACGCUAACCCAAACAUCCGACAGCUUCAGGACAACUACUACGCCUGUCCCAGACAGCUCAAACUGAGAGACUGACACCAUCGGGCCAACGGUGCUGCGAGCAGUAACAGGAAAUAACAGACGCCUUUGCAAAAAUACAAGCGCUGCACACGCUCUGAUGGUGAUUUGCAUUCAGGAUACAAAAGGAUGAAGAAAUAGCACGAACCUCCACUGAGGCGACUCACUCUCUGAGCAGUAUUCACUUUUAAAAUUGUAUUUUGUACACAUGCAUUUAGUUUACUUUGUUCUUUUUAAACACAAUUUAAGAAGUUUUUCUCUGUUCAAAACCCUUUUUAUAUAUGUGAUCAAACAUUUGAGUGGUGAUACUUAAAAAUGGUUAGUGAUACUUGUAACUCAUUUUGGCUCAACUUGAAAGAAAGGCAGACGUGAAAAGUAAAAAUGAGGUCAGAGGUCACAUGUGACAUUUAGAAUUCCUGCACACCAUUAUCAGUUAGCAAAACAAAAAUAGCUCUUUAUAACAUUAUUAUCACUUUUAUCUUCAGCUAAAUCUACUGAGCUUGAAGGAGCAGUCAAGCUGACAUUUUAAAUCCUUAUACCAGGGGUGUCGUUAUAUGGCUUGGGGGCCAGAAACAGCCAGGUAGAGAAGACCUCCCCCAUGACCAGUCACACUACACCAAAGUAAUUAAGUAAUAUAUAAACAAAGUAACAGUCUUUUCACCA